AGCAGCCGCGGUAAUUCCAGCUCCAAUAGCGUAUAUUAAAGUUGCUGCAGUUAAAAAGCUCGUAGUUGAAUUUCGGGACCAAUAUGUCGGUCGUGCCUCGGUACGUACUGGCAUCGUUGGUUUCUCCCUUCUGACGAACCAUGAUGUCAUUUAUUUGGUGUCGUGGGGAAUCAGGACUGUUACUUUGAAAAAAUUAGAGUGUUUAAAGCAGGCUCACGCUUGAAUACAUUAGCAUGGAAUAACGGAAUAGGACGUUUGAUUCUAUUUUGUUGGUUUCUAGGAUCGACGUAAUGAUUAAUAGGGAUAGUUGGGGACAUUAGUAUUCAAUUGUCAGAGGUGAAAUUCUUGGAUUUAUUGAAGACUAACUACUGCGAAAGCAUUUGCCAAGGAUGUUUUCAUUAAUCAAGAACGAAAGUUAGGGGAUCGAAGACGAUCAGAUACCGUCGUAGUCUUAACCAUAAACUAUGCCGACUAGGGAUCGGAUGAUGUUAAUUUUUAAUGACUCAUUCGGCGCCUUAAC
rnacentral:rRNA from 1 species